AUUUUUAGGACAUUUUGGUGACUUUUUGGGAACAUUUUUGGGCCAUUUUUUGGAUGAUUUUGGAGGAAAUUUUGAGGAAUUUUUGGGGCCAUUUUGGUGAAUUUUUGGGAACAUUUUUGGGACAUUUUGAAGCUAUUUUUGGUAAUUUUUAGGGAUAUUUUUGGACAUUUUUGGGACAUUUUUUGAAACAUUUUUGGGCAAUUUUUGGGGCCAUUUUGGGACCCUGGGAACAUUUUUGGGGCCAUUUUCGGGAAUUUUAGGAGACCUUUUGGGGCCAUUUUGGGGAAUAUUUCUGGGACAUUUUUGGGGAUUUUGGGGCCCAUUUUGGGAACUUUUUUUAUUUUUAAUUUCGGAGAAGAUUGUGGAACACUUUUUGGGAUUUUUGGGCCAUUUUGGGGAACAUUUCUGGGAAUUUUGGGAACAAUUUGGGGAAUUUUCGGAAACAUUUUUGGGGCCAUUUUGGGACCAUUUUUGGGAUUUUCAGGAACAUUUUUGGGGCAAUUUUUGGGCCAUUUUGGGGAUUUUUGGGGCCGUUUGGGGAACUUUUAUUUUGGAACUUCGGGGAAAUUUUGGGAUCAAUUUCGGGAAUUUGGGGAACAUUUUUGGGACAAUUCUGGGGGAUUUUGGGCCCCGCCCCUCCCCCAAUCAGCCGCAGCCGCCGUUGCUGACUCAGCGUUUAUUGACCCGCGCGGGGGGGCGUGGCCAAACCCCGACCACGCCCCCAAACAAAUCCCGCCCACCGCGAGGGGCGGGGCUUAGGCCGUACCGGAAGGGGCGGGGCCGUGACGUCGCUGGUGCCGCCUUAGCCCCGCCCCCGAGGCGAAGCUCCGCCCACAGAGGGGGCAGGGAAAGGGGCGGGGCCUCGCCGCCAUAUUGGAUGCCGCCAUGUUGGAUCCGGCGGCCAUAUUGGUGUCCGCCAUAUUGUUUCUUCCAACGGCAGCCAUAUUGCUCCCCCCAGCGGCGGCCAUAUUGUUUCCUCUAAUGACAGCCAUAUUGGUGUCCGCCAUAUUGUUUCCUCUAAUGACAGCCAUAUUGGUGUC
rnacentral:lncRNA from 1 species